GAUCCUGGCUCAGAUUGAACGCUGGCGGCAGGCCUAACACAUGCAAGUCGAACGGUAACAGGAAACAGCUUGCUGUUUCGCUGACGAGUGGCGGACGGGUGAGUAAUGUCUGGGAAACUGCCUGAUGGAGGGGGAUAACUACUGGAAACGGUAGCUAAUACCGCAUAACGUCGCAAGACCAAAGAGGGGGACCUUCGGGCCGUCUUGUCCAUCGGAUGUGCCCACGAUGGGAGUUAGCUAGUAGGUGGGGUAAAGGG
rnacentral:rRNA from 1 species